GGCUCGGUGGCAGAGUGGUAAUGCAUCUGCUUCUUUUGGCCCAUCGUCCACUGUUUGCGGAAAUCGUCUGUUCGAAUCAGGCACGAGCCA